GCCACAAGAAAACAGAGACUCCACUCACGUCAGAUCAUCUCUCUCCUCCCUCCUCGCCUCCUCCUCCUCCUCCUCCUCUUCUGCUUCGUCUGCGUUUCCUUUCUCCUUCGUCUACUCAUUCCCUUUUUCUCUUUCGACGGAGCCGCGGUCGAGCCAGCGGUGCCUGAUUUGGCUCGAUCGAAAAGGGGCGGAGCCAGAUGUGGCUGCCUGUGCAGCGGAUCAUCGUUCACGGUACGGAGAGACAGAGGAAGGUGGGCGACUGGACUGCACACGGCGGCGGAGGCGAGGCGAGGCGGACGGACAGUGUGUUGGUGACAGAUUCGAGGGCUUGCUGGAUAGAGUUCAAGGCGGGCUCUUCGAUGCUUCGUGCGGGAUCAUCCUGGGUACAAGGUAAGAAAGCUUGAGGCUUGAAGAGAAGAGGGUUUACAAGAGGGUGAGGAGGAAGAAGAGAGAAGUGAGAUCUAAAAAUUUCGAGUCCCUUCCUCUUGUGUUGAGAGGGUGCAUUUAUAGUGGGUGCUACAGUAAAAGUGCUACAGUGUUGAACAAUGUAAAAGUGAAUAGUGAAUAGUGAACAGUGAAUGCCUAUUUUGCUAUAGUGUAUAGCUUUUGCGCCGCUGUAACAGUGUCAGCAUGUGAUGUCUUGGCUUUAGUCUCUGUCUAGGUUGAUCCCGUAGCAGUCGUCUUCAUUGGUGUUUCCACUAUGAUGCGACUGUGAGGAUCCGUCUUGACUAUCUUGAGAUUUGGAAGAUUCACAUUAUGAUUCGUCCGCUUCCAAGAGCAUUGUCCUGAGGAUGUUUGUCAAUCUCUUAUACUUUCUUGUUUUAUGGGUUAA